rnacentral:rRNA from 1 species
GACGAACGCUGGCGGCGCGCCUAACACAUGCAAGUCGAACGGUGAAGAGGAGCUUGCUCCUCGGAUCAGUGGCGGACGGGUGAGUAACACGUGAGCAACCUGGCUCUAAGAGGGGGACAACAGUUGGAAACGACUGCUAAUACCGCAUAACGUAUCGGGAUGGCAUCUUCCUGAUACCAAAGAUUUUAUCGCUUAGAGAUGGGCUCGCGUCUGAUUAGAUAGUUGGCGGGGUAACGGCCCACCAAGUCGACGAUCGGUAGCCGGACUGAGAGGUUGAACGGCCACAUUGGGACUGAGACACGGCCCAGACUCCUACGGGAGGCAGCAGUGGGAAUAUUGCACAAUGGGGGAAACCCUGAUGCAGCGACGCCGCGUGGAGGAAGAAGGUCUUCGGAUUGUAAACUCCUGUUGUUGAGGAAGAUAAUGACGGGUACUCAACAAGGAAGUGACGGCUAACUACGUG